UACGUAGGGGGCAAGCGUUGUCCGGAUUUAUUGGGCGUAAAGCGCGUGUAGGCGGCCAUACAUGUCAGCUGUGAAAACUCGAGGCUCAACCUCGAGACGUCGGUUGAAACCGUAUGGCUAGAGUCCGGAAGAGGAGAGUGGAAUUCCCGGUGUAGCGGUGAAAUGCGCAGAUAUCGGGAAGAACACCCGUGGCGAAGGCGGCUCUCUGGGACGGUACGGACGCUGAGACGCGAAAGCGUGGGGAGCGAACAGG
rnacentral:rRNA from 1 species